rnacentral:rRNA from 1 species
AACGAACGCUGGCGGCAGGCUUAACACAUGCAAGUCGAGCGCCCCCGCAAGGGGAGCGGCAGACGGGUGAGUAACGCGUGGGAAUCUACCGUACCCUACGGAAUAGCUCCGGGAAACUGGAAUUAAUACCGUAUACGCCCUUCGGGGGAAAGAUUUAUCGGGGUAUGAUGAGCCCGCGUUGGAUUAGCUAGUUGGUGGGG